rnacentral:rRNA from 1 species
UACGUAGGUUGCGAGCGUUGUCCGGAAUUACUGGGCGUAAAGAGCUCGUAGGUGGUUUGUCGCGUUGUUCGUGAAAACUCACAGCUUAACUGUGGGCGUGCGGGCGAUACGGGCAGACUGGAGUACUGCAGGGGAGACUGGAAUUCCUGGUGUAGCGGUGGAAUGCGCAGAUAUCAGGAGGAACACCGGUGGCGAAGGCGGGUCUCUGGGCAGUAACUGACGCUGAGGAGCGAAAGCGUGGGGAGCGAACAGG